GCAACUUUUGCUGUUCUUCUCUUUCAAAGUAAACAACUUUGCUUCCACCGCUAAUAUUCCUUUCCGGCCAUCCCUCGUCACCAUCCGGUCUCCUCUGAUCAUGAAACAACAACCCUUAGACUCUUCUAAUUCUCCUAUACAAAACUCAUCCUUUUGUUUCUCAGAUCUAUUAUAUUGAUUUUUGUCACCGCCACUUUACAGACGUUUCUUCAUGCAUAUAUACCACAACUUGUCCAUUUCUUCUGAUUGAAACCAUGAAAUCAACUUGUCCAUUUCUUCUGUUUUUCACUCAAAAAUCAUGAAAUCUUUAUACACAUAAAUCAAGCUCGUGCUUUUAAUGUCAAACCGCCACAUACAGCGUGACAUGGAGGUUUGUAGCAGUGAGGAUGCGUGGUUGCAUUUUUCUGUGCUAGAUCUAAAAAAUUUGAGCAGGACUCAGGUCUCAUGUAUUGGUGUUGAAGACAAACUAUGUAGAGAGAGAUGCUAAGAAAUUGGAUGAAUACAUCAAUUUCCAAUUUUGCUAGUGAAUAUAUAGUAAGAGAGCAAAAAAUUACCUCAUGGAUUUAGUAUCUUUGUAGAGGAGGACAACACUUUUAAAAAAGUUUCCUUUUUUUUUAUACUCAGUGUACCUGCAAAAUGAUAGUCAAUUUUAGAGCAUGAAGUAUAAUAUGUGAAAAGUGAAAACAAUAGCAUAGCA